GUAAGGCGGGCUCGGGACCAGACAAUACAAACCCUUCCUGCUCCUGUCUAUAUCUUCGUAUUUAUUUAAGAUUUUUACAGCUAUUCCUGCAUAUGUAAUAAAAAUAAUUUUUUAAUGACGUUUUAGUUUUAAAAGACAGCCUUUUAUCGUCAGCUAUAGCUAUAAAAACCCAUGCAUAGCUAUCUUCUUCUCCUUGACCUUCGACCAAAGAUCUUCCAAAGCUUUGAGCCUAUUGUUGCAUGUGGACGAAAACGAGCUCCCAAAUCCUUAUUAGUGGCUUCAAUCGGAUUUUGCAGGUGCUGAGUUCACAAGGUUGUUGAAGCUGCGUCUCUGCUGCUUUGAGAAGGCUGCCCUUCGUCUUCCAUAGUGGCCAUUUGUGCUUUGCCUGGCUUGAUGCUUCCUUGCUCCAAAGCGUAAGUGGUUCCGUUCUCCCUGGGGUGCUCUGCCCAUUUCUCUAAAAAAAGUCCUACUCUUGCCCUGUGGUGACUCAUGUCUUCACCUCCCGUGGCACCUCCCAAGUUGCAUUGAGGCUGCCAGCAACUUCUACCAAGGGCCAUUCUCCCUGUCUCUGUUAGUUCGUUGUAGUUUUCGGUUUCUGACCCAAUCAAUCCAAAUGCUCGAGUAUGAUCAUUCACUCCAGCUUCUUUACUCUCCCCUGGUUCAACACCCAUUGUCGCAGGUGGAUUGACUAUCCACUGCCUCUGUAAUCCAUUUUUCGAUGCCAACGCUGCCAGUUGGUGAGCUAAGUUGUUUUCGUCUCUUGGAGUCCAGGUAACUCCCACAUCUGGAGCCUCAUUCAGCAGAUGGAGAAUGUCUCUGAUGAUUGCGUCUGCCUUUGUCAAAGAUGUUUUUGCCUUAAUUGCUUGAACCAGAGUCCCUGGCUAUCACUGCUGAAGCUGCCAUGCCUGUUUUCCUGUGAAAAGUCGCAUCAGUGUUCACCUUUAACGAAUCCUUGGGCGGAUGCCUCUAGGUAAUUUCUGGCUGAAAUUGAGGGAGCUGAGCAAAAAUCUGAGUUAGGCUGAAAAAGGACUGCUGAUGUUGUUGGAUCCUGACCUCCCUGCACUCGGAAUGGAUUUUUUAGAGCUACAGGAGUCCAAUUGGCGCGCUCUCAACGGCGUUGGAAAGUAGACAUCCAGGGCUUUCCAGCAAUAUAUAAUAGUCCAUACUUUGCGCGUAGAUAGACGACGUAACUUGGCGUUGAACGCCAAGUACAUGCUGCUGUCUGGAGUUAAACGCCAGAAACACGUCAU